rnacentral:rRNA from 1 species
AUUGAACGCUGGCGGCAGGCCUAACACAUGCAAGUCGAGCGGAUGAAGGGAGCUUGCUCCUGGAUUCAGCGGCGGACGGGUGAGUAAUGCCUAGGAAUCUGCCUGGUAGUGGGGGAUAACGUCCGGAAACGGGCGCUAAUACCGCAUACGUCCUGAGGGAGAAAGUGGGGGAUCUUCGGACCUCACGCUAUCAGAUGAGCCUAGGUCGGAUUAGCUAGUUGGUGGGGUAAAGGCCUACCAAGGCGACGAUCCGUAACUGGUCUGAGAGGAUGAUCAGUCACACUGGUACUGAGACACGGUCCAGACUCCUACGGGAGGCAGCAGUGGGGAAUAUUGGACGAUGGGCGAAUGCCUGAUCCAGCCAUGCCGCGUGUGUGAAGAAGGUCUUCGGAUUGUAAAGCACUUUAAGUUGGGAGAAAGGGCAGUAAGUUAAUACCUUGCUGUUUUGACGUUACCAACAGAAUAAGCACCGGCUAACUUCGUG